GGGGUCGCAAGAUCUCGCGCUACCGGAUGGGCCCGCGCCCGAUUAGCUAGUUGGUGAGGUAAUGGCUCACCAAGGCAACGAUCGGUAGCCGGCCUGAGAGGGUGAUCGGCCACACCGGAACUGAGACACGGUCCGGACUCCUACGGGAGGCAGCAGUGGGGAAUCUUGCGCAAUGGGCGAAAGCCUGACGCAGCAACGCCGCGUGGAGGAUGAAGGCCCUUGGGUUGUAAACUCCUGUCGGCUGGGAAGAAAUCGUACGGUGCUCAUACCGCCGUGCGUUGACUGUACCAGCAAAGGAAGCCCCGGCUAACUCUGUGCCAGCAGCCGCGGUAAUACAGAGGGGGCUAGCGUUAUUCGGAAUUAUUGGGCGUAAAGGGCGCGUAGGCGGCCUUGCGUGUCUUUCGUGAAAUCCCUCGGCUUAACUGAGGACGUGCGGAAGAAACUGCAGGGCUUGAGUCCGGGAGAGGGGGGUGGAAUUCCCAGUGUAGCGGUGAAAUGCGUAGAUAUUGGGAGGAACACCGGUGGCGAAGGCGGCCCCCUGGACCGGUACUGACGCUGAGGCGCGAAAGCGUGGGGAGCAAACGGGAUUAGAUACCCCGGUAGUCCACGCCGUAAACGAUGGGCACUUGGUGUCGCGGGUAUCGACCCCUGCGGUGCCGAAGCUAACGCAUUAAGUGCCCCGCCUGGGGAGUACGGUCGCAAGGCUGAAACUUAAAGGAAUUGACGG
rnacentral:rRNA from 1 species